AUUGAACGCUGGCGGCAGGCUUAACACAUGCAAGUCGAGCGGGGAAGGGUAGCUUGCUACCUGACCUAGCGGCGGACGGGUGAGUAAUGCUUAGGAAUCUGCCUAUUAGUGGGGGACAACAUUCCGAAAGGAAUGCUAAUACCGCAUACGCCCUACGGGGGAAAGCAGGGGAUCUUCGGACCUUGCGCUAAUAGAUGAGCCUAAGUCAGAUUAGCUAGUUGGUGGGGUAAAGGCCUACCAAGGCGACGAUCUGUAGCGGGUCUGAGAGGAUGAUCCGCCACACUGGGACUGAGACACGGCCCAGACUCCUACGGGAGGCAGCAGUGGGGAAUAUUGGACAAUGGGCGCAAGCCUGAUCCAGCCAUGCCGCGUGUGUGAAGAAGGCCUUUUGGUUGCAAAGCACUUUAAGCGAGGAGGAGGCUACUUGGAUUAAUACUCUAGGAUAGUGGACGUUACUCGCAGAAUAAGCACCGGCUAACUCUGUGCCAGCAGCCGCGGUAAUACAGAGGGUGCGAGCGUUAAUCGGAUUUACUGGGCGUAAAGCGUGCGUAGGCGGCUUUUUAAGUCGGAUGUGAAAUCCCUGAGCUUAACUUAGGAAUUGCAUUCGAUACUGGGAAGCUAGAGUAUGGGAGAGGAUGGUAGAGUUCCAGGUGUAGCGGUGAAAUGCGUAGAGAUCUGGAGGAAUACCGAUGGCGAAGGCAGCCAUCUGGCCUAAUACUGACGCUGAGGUACGAAAGCAUGGGGAGCAAACAGG
rnacentral:rRNA from 1 species